rnacentral:rRNA from 1 species
GAUGAACGCUGGCGGCGUGCCUAAUACAUGCAAGUCGAGCGAACAGAUGAGGCGCUUGCUCCUCUGACGUUAGCGGCGGACGGGUGAGUAACACGUGGAUAACCUACCUAUAAGACUGGGAUAACUUCGGGAAACCGGAGCUAAUACCGGAUAAUAUAUUGAACCGCAUGGUUCAAUAGUGAAAGACGGUUUUGCUGUCACUUAUAGAUGGAUCCGCGCCGCAUUAGCUAGUUGGUAAGGUAACGGCUUACCAAGGCAACGAUGCGUAGCCGACCUGAUAGGGGGAUCGGCCACAUGGGAACUGAGACACGGUCCAGACGCCUACGGGAGGCAGCAGUAGGGAAUCUGACGCAAUGGGCGAAAGCCUGACGGAGCAACGCCGCGUGAGUGAUGAAGGUCUUCGGAUCGUAAAACUCUGUUAUUAGGGAAGAACAAAUGUGUAAGUAACUAUGCACGUCUUGACGGUACCUAAUCAGAAAGCCACGGCUAACUACGUG